CCUCUUCCAACCCUCUAUAAAUACACCCCUACAAUAGAUAUUAUUUAUUCACAAAUCAAUAAAGUUUAAUCAGAAAAAGAAAAAGAAAUAAAGAAAAAAUGAGUUACAUGAGCAGAUUGUGGAUGGCGACGAGUGUAGCAGUGGUGAACACCCACUCCGAUCAAGGCAAUAAGCUCAAAUCCGGUCUCAAAUCCAUCAACCACGGCAAAAAGCUCUUGUUUUCCGAUGCGGCGGACCUCCGGUCGUGCUCCGCCGUCGUGAAUUCCGAGCUCAAAGGGUUCGUCGGCGGCGUUGACCGGAGGAAGCAGGCCGAUGAGUCAGUCCGCCAAGUCAUGUAUUUGAAUUGCUGGGGCCAGGGCUAGGUUUUGGUUGUAAAUUCGAGCUGCCCGACGAGGGCUUUUACGUAAUUUCGGACUCGGUCGGAAGAGUUGAAUCGUCUUCGACUUUGGAAGUUUUGAAGGGGCUGGGACCGAGUUGACUCGGGUUGGUAUGGAAGGAAGAUGGAGCAGCAAGAGCUGAUUUGAUAAAUAUUGAUGCUGAAUUGGGAAAUAUUUGGAAGAUGGAGGGUUCGGAAAUAAAUUCUGUGAAAUUUUCUUUCUUUGAUUCCCCGGUAAACAGUUGGGGGCGAAGAAGUGUAUUUAUGGCUAGCGAAACUGUUUAUAUAUAUCAGAGAUUCAAGUUUGUUUUAUCACAUUUUCUUGCCUCAGUUCUUUAUUUUAUGUCUUCAAUUAAAAAAGGUAAUCUCCUGAUUUAUUUUAAUGUCGCUUAAUUAGAAUAAAUUAAUUAAAUAUAAUGACAAAAAAUUAGAAUAUCGAGAUGAUCAAGAUUAUGAACUAGCAAAUUAUGUAAAAAUCAAUUGAAGUGGUUUAAUCUAAAAUUUUAAUGUGACGAAUUAUGCGGAGUGCG
rnacentral:lncRNA from 1 species